rnacentral:rRNA from 1 species
CAGUCGCCGCGGUAAUACGGAGGGAGCUAGCGUUGUUCGGAAUUACUGGGCGUAAAGCGCACGUAGGCGGUUAUUCAAGUCAGAGGUGAAAGCCCGGGGCUCAACCCCGGAACUGCCUUUGAAACUAGAUGACUGGAAUCUUGGAGAGGUCAGUGGAAUUCCGAGUGUAGAGGUGAAAUUCGUAGAUAUUCGGAAGAACACCAGUGGCGAAGGCGGCUGACUGGACAAGUAUUGACGCUGAGGUGCGAAAGCGUGGGGAGCAAACAGGAUUAGAUACCCCAGUAGUCCCUGUCUCUUAUAC